GACGAACGCUGGCGGCGUGCUUAACACAUGCAAGUCGAACGCUGAAGCUUGGUGCUUGCGCUGGGUGGAUGAGUGGCGAACGGGUGAGUAAUACGUGAGUAACCUGCCCUUGACUCUGGGAUAAGCCUGGGAAACUGGGUCUAAUACUGGAUACGACAUGCCACUGCAUGGUGGUGUGUGGAAAGGGUUUUACUGGUUUUGGAUGGGCUCACGGCCUAUCAGCUUGUUGGUGGGGUAAUGGCCUACCAAGGCGACGACGGGUAGCCGGCCUGAGAGGGUGACCGGCCACACUGGGACUGAGACACGGCCCAGACUCCUACGGGAGGCAGCAGUGGGGAAUAUUGCACAAUGGGCGGAAGCCUGAUGCAGCGACGCCGCGUGAGGGAUGACGGCCUUCGGGUUGUAUACCUCUUUCAGCACGGAAGAAGCGAGAGUGACGGUACGUGCAGAAGAAGCGCCGGCUAACUACGUG
rnacentral:rRNA from 1 species